GAUGAACGCUGGCGGCGUGCCUAAUACAUGCAAGUCGAGCGAACAGACGAGGAGCUUGCUCCUCUGACGUUAGCGGCGGACGGGUGAGUAACACGUGGAUAACCUACCUAUAAGACUGGGAUAACUUCGGGAAACCGGAGCUAAUACCGGAUAAUAUAUUGAACCGCAUGGUUCAAUAGUGAAAGACGGUUUUGCUGUCACUUAUAGAUGGAUCCGCGCCGCAUUAGCUAGUUGGUAAGGUAACGGCUUACCAAGGCAACGAUGCGUAGCCGACCUGAGAGGGGGAUCGGCCACACUGGAGCUGAGACACGGUCCAGACUCCUACGGGAGGCAGCAGUAGGGAAUCUUCCGCAAUGGGCGAAAGCCUGACGGAGCAACGCCGCGUGAGUGAUGAAGGUCUUCGGAUCGUAAAACUCUGUUAUUAGGGAAGAACAAAUGUGUAAGUAACUAUGCACGUCUUGACGGUACCUAAUCAGAAAGCCACGGCUACCUACGU
rnacentral:rRNA from 1 species